rnacentral:lncRNA from 1 species
UUUACCCUUUACUUUAGCACCAUGUUCAUCGGGAUUCCAUAUGCUGAAAUUAACCCAUUAAUUUCUAGAAACAUUGUGAUAGGAUACUUUCAUGCUCAUUUGCUGGUUCUGACUGGUUUUCUUCUCACAUGCCAUGGAGGGCUUUUUUUUUUUUUUAAUUACAGCUUUAAAUGUGUCUAUUAUUUCUUAGAGCCAUGGCCCCACUAGCUUCCAUUCAUUGGUUUUGUUUUAAACUAUAUCUAUAGUUUAUCAUGUGUGAGGUUCUGGGUCCAACCAAGAUGACGGGAGAGACAGAUACUUAUAAAGGAUCCACAGUAUGAUUUUCAUAGCCAAAGAGGCCUGAAAGCAAGCAGAAGGCCAGGACAACAGAAAACACAAGAUCAAAAUGGUCUGAAGUCAAGAUGCUUUCAAAGCAAACCAACAUAAUGAAUGCAAACCAAAAC